UGUGUGUGUGAGAUUUGUGAAUAAAAAGGCUGCUUGAGUCACUUCUCAAGCCGUUAAACUUCUCUCAAAAAAUAUAAAAAUGUUUUAAAAUAAUCCUGAAAUUCUCGUCGGCGUUGGCUUACUGAGCGAUGAAGAGUCGGUUCAACUGAUUCAGUUCAUUCAUUCAAACCAUCGAAGUAGGAUAAGCGGCUUUGGUAAUGAUUCUUUAAAUGAACCGAUUCAGAAUCCUCUUCUUGAAUCGUUUGAGUCGUUCUCACUCGGUCAGGGUUGCACGUGUGGGUUGCUUUUCCUGCACGUGUAAUCAGCACGUGUUCACAGACCGUAAAUCCCGACCCCAUGGUAGACACUCGACAGAAAUUUCAUACUAAAGUAAGUAUUUUAUAUUUUCUGGGUCUAAACAGAGCAGAAGUAUUGCUAAUGUGUUGUACAGAUUCUAUUGGACUGGUGAACUGUGUGGAUUUGAAUAUUUAACCCAGUUUAAUAUGGCCUGCUUUGUUCAGUCAGAGACAAGUAAAUCUCUUCUAAUGUUCAUUUAUUUUCCAUAGAUAAAACAAAUGUUUGCUUACACAUGAAUACGUACUUUAUGCCUUCAGAAUGGUGGAGAUUUGUCUCUUAACUAUUUUAAAUUUGGUUCUCUUCAACAGGUUGUGUUUGAGUUGUGCAGGCUUGUGUCACCUGACUUAAAGAAGGCAUUGUUUGAAGGGCUUGAUCAGCACCUCCCACGGCUCCUGCAGUUGUACAACACCGAGAGGCAGUGAAAUACCCGAAAUCCAACAUGUGAUGACCCGCAUUGAUCAAGAGACAGGAGCCUGUGGUUUCCUACUCUGAACACUGUUCGAGCCAUGUCGACUUCAGGAGGCCCCACUCCACCCUUCACCACCCUGUCAGUCACCCACCCAGCCAAUCACAUCACUCCUGUAGAGCUGCACCGACCAGAGAAACGCAACGCCAUGAACUAGGCCUACUGGAGGCACGGAUGCUGAUCACAGAGGAGAGCCUGAUGACCACGAUCGUCCGCACAUUCGAUGAUCACCUGAGACAUCGAGACCAGAAGGGACAAUUUCAGUUUGAACUCUACAGUGCACAAAAGAUAUGUCCUGAUUAGCCGUUCAACAGAGUGGACCGACAAGCUCAGGGAGAAGUUUCUGGAAGGACUUGAUGCUUUCUUGGAGCCGCUCAAGUCCAUGCAGUGUGUUUACAUGUGGUAUGGACCCAGUAGUACGCGACGUGGACCAAGACAUAGAGAUGGAACCAUUGUGGGUGACAGCCUUCACAUUGCAGAUGAAGCUCACACACAUUAUCUCAGUGAUGCAAGAGUGGUGUGCCAGUGAUAUGAGGACUCGCUCGAGCUUCACAUGGUGCGGCUGGAACUGGAAAAUGUGGAGAAGCAGAUCCGCGGCCUACUCGACAAGCAGGCCCAGCUGCUGGAGCAACAAACUGCGCUGGAAACAUCUUGUGCCUCUGCCCACAUAUCCAAGGUAAGCACACAGCGUGGUAUUUCCACUCCCAGCCCCUCUACGCCGUGUGUUUCUCUGUGCAGGGACCGUGCACCUAGGACUUUCCCAGCCGUGGUCUCCGUCACGCCGGCGCCAACACACCUCGGGCCUUGGGUGAACCAGCGGCGGAAGGCGCGGGCUGGACCCUCUCCACCUCCGGUGUUCGAGAUUCCAACCAGGAACCGCUUCGCCCCUCUCCGCCAGACCAGACCCAACGCUGUGAUCGUCGGGGACUCCAUUGUGCGGAACGUCCGUGUAGCCUCAUCUAAAGGUAAGGUGCGCACACACUGUUUUUCUGGUGCUUGUGUCCUUCAUGUCGCUGCGCAGGUAUCCGGGAUCCUGAAGAAGGACGAGCGCACUGGAGCGGUUGUGCUGCACGCGGGGACGAACGACACCAGGCUGCGGCAGAUGGAGGUUCUGAAGAGGGACUUCUCCAGCCUGAUCGAGACGGUACGAGGCAGAUCACCCACCGCGAAGAUCAUCGUCUCUGGACCUCUUCCCACAUACAGACGUGGAGCAGAAAAGUUCAGUAGACUUCUAGCAUUAAAUGAUUGGUUAGUCUCUUGGUGUAAUGAGCAGAAUCUGGUGUUUGUCAAUAACUGGAAUCUGUUCUGGGAGCGUCCUAGGUUGUUUCGUCCUGAUGGCCUGCACCCCAGCAGCCUUGGAGCGGAACUGCUUUCAGACAACAUUUCCAAGGCGCUACACUCCAAGUGACUGCCUACCGUAAGUACGUCUUCCAAUAAUAACAACAUUCAGUAAAAUCAAUGUUCAACUAAAAAUCCGGCAAAGGUAAUACAUACUAUAGAGACUGUGUCUGUUCCCCGAGCUAUACAAAUAUAUAGAAAAUCUCGGAAAGUCUAUCUUCGUAACCUAAUUAACAUAAAACUAAAUCAUAUUGAAUGCACAGCCAGCACUUUUGAUCUGAGGCUAGGACUAUUAAACAUUAGAUCUCUUGCGUCUAAGGCUCUUAUUGUUAACGACAUCAUUACUGAUCAGGAAUGUAAUUUAAUGUGUUUAACAGAAACUUGGAUUAAACCAAACGAGUACAUAGCAUUAAAUGACGCCAGUCCUCCUGGAUACAGUUAUGUACAUCAGCCUCGUUCAACUGGUAGAGGAGGAGGUGUUGGUCUCAUCCAUAGUAAAAACCUAAGCAUAAAUUUAAUUCUUUUGAAAUUCUUUAUACCAGUAUAACUUAUGUAGCCACAAAAAAUAAGUCAAUUCCUCUAAUUAUUAUUUACAGACCCCCAGGGCCAUAUACUGAAUUUCUUAGUGAAUUUGCAGACUUUGUCUCAAACCUGGUUGUGUCUGUAGAUAAAGCAUUAAUCGUCUGUGAUUUUAAUAUUCACUUUGAUAUCCAGAAGACCCUCUGAGGACAGCGGUUGUGUCCAUCUUAGAUUCAGUAGGGAUUAAUCAGAACGUAAUCGGGCCUACUCAUAAUGGUGGUCACACUCUUGACCUCAUACUAACAUACGGACUAAGUAUAGAAAAUAUUAUCAUUUUUCCGCAGUCUGAAGUUGUCUCAGACCAUUAUCUUAUCUUGUUCAUAAUACGUAUUGAUCAUAAUAUUUCCACCUCGCCUCGCUACCGCAUAAAACGUACCUACACAUCAGCUACUGCACCGAGCUUCAUAAAUAACCUCACAGAAACAUCAAUUAGAUUUGGAUCACCAUCAGAUCACAUAGAACUCGAUCAGGCGACUGAAAGCUCGGAGUCAACACUCCGCUACACGCUAGAUAGAGUGGCUCCACUCAAAAGGAAAAUAAUUAGAGAAAAAAAAUUAGCACCCUGGUAUAAUGAUCAAACGCGAACCUUAAAACAGACAACUCGACAAUUAGAACGUAAAUGGCGUCAAACCAAACUGGUGAUAUUUCAAACAGCAUGGAAGGAGAGCCUACUGAAAUAUAGGAAAUCUCUUGGCGAUGCUAGAAAAAUCUAUUUCUCCACCUUAAUAGGAGACAACAAAAACAAUUCUAGACACAGUAGCAAAAUUAACUAGGAAUAAAACCACUACAGAGAGAAACACUCAAUCAUUACAUAGCAGUGAAGAUUUCAUCAAAUUUUUCAUUGAUAAGGUUGAAAAUAUUAGACGUGAAAUACAGGCCAUUAAAUUAAAACCGGACAGUACUGUAACAAACCCAUUACAUGACAAUGUAGCAAUAUCAGAUCAAUGUUUAGAGUGUUUUGCUCCGCUUAGAGAGACCGAACUAGCUACAUUAAUCUCUUCAGCCAAUUCAUCAACUUGCAUACUAGAUCCCGUACCUACAUGUUUGUUUAAACAGAUUGGUCCAGGAGUAAUUGAACCACUUUUAAAUAUAAUCAAUUCUUCCCUAAGCACUGGCUAUGUACCUAAAUCACUUAAAUUAGCAGUUAUUAAACCCUUGAUUAAAAAACCUGAUCUUGACCCGUCUCAACUGUCCAGCUAUAGACCAAUAUCAAAUAUCCCCUUCAUCUCUAAGAUUUUAGAAAAGGUUGUAGCAAAGCAGUUAUGCUCGUACUUAGAUAGGAAUAACAUUCAUGAAAUGUAUCAGUCAGGAUUUAGACCUCAUCAUAGCACAGAGACAGCGUUAGUUAAAGUAGUAAAUGACCUUCUACUGACCUACGAUCAGGGUUGUGUCUCGCUGCUUGUGUUACUCGACCUUAGUGCAGCUUUUGAUACUAUAGAUCACACUAUUCUCCUUGAUAGAUUAGAAAAUGUUGUUGGUAUUAAGGGAACAGUCCUCUCCUGGCUCAGGUCUUAUCUGACCGAUCGUUAUCAGUUCGUAGAUGUAAAUGGUGAUUUCUCCAUGCGUACUGAGGUUACUUUUGGAGUUCCACAGGGUUCUGUUUUAGGCCCACUGCUCUUUACUUUAUAUAUGCUACCCCUAGGUCAAAUUAUUCGUAAACAUGGAAUUAGCUUCCACUGUUCUGCUGAUGAUACACAGUUAUAUGUUUCAGCGAAGCCAGAGGACAGACAGAAGCUUAGUAAAGUUGAGGAUUGUGUAAAGGACAUUAGACAUUGGAUGUUAAUUAACUUCCUUCUACUUAAUUCUGAUAAAAACAGAAAUACUUUUAUUAGGCCCACGUGUAGCUAGAAGUAUUCUUUCUGAUCACAUGGUUACUCUGGAUGGUCUUUCUGUUUCAUCAUGUGCAGCAGUUAAAGACCUUGGAGUGAUUAUUGACUCCAGCCUAUCAUUUGAUGCUCAUGUAGAUAAUAUUACUAGGAUAGUCUUCUUUCAUCUCAGAAAUAUUUCUAAAAUAAGAAACAUAUUGUCACUACAUGAUGCGGAAAUACUAGUUCAUGCAUUCGUCACCUCUAGAUUAGAUUACUGUAAUGCCUUACUGUCUGGAUGUUCCAGUAGGAAUAUAAAUAAGCUCCAGUUAGUCCAGAAUGCAGCUGCUAGAGUCCUAACUAGAACUAGAUGAUACGACCACAUCACAUCGAUAUUAUCAGUACUGCAUUGGCUCCCAGUGAAAUCUCACACUGAUUAUAAAAUACUAUUAUUAACCUAUAAAGCACUAAGUGGUCUCGUGCCACAGUAUCUAAGCGAUCUUUUGGUUUUCUGUGAUCCGCCACGCCUACUUAGGUCAAAAGAUGCAGGUUAUCUGAUGGUACCUCGAAUAGUGAAGGCUACAGCAGGGGGAAGAGCUUUCUCUUAUAGAGCCCCACAGUUAUGGAACAGUCUUCCUAUUAGUGUUCUGGACUCAGACACAGUCUCAGUGUUUAAGUCUAGGCUUAAAACCUAUUUGUUUACUCAAGCCUACCCUGACUCUAUUAUGCUAAUUCACAGUCCUAAUAAUCUUUUCUCUCCCUCUCUCCUUCUGCCGAGCCACACACGAAUUUAUGGAGAUACUAGAGAUCCUGAUCCUUUCUGCCUCUGGAUGGCGCUCUCAUCUACUGCAAUUCCAGACUGCUGAGAUUACGGCUGCUCCUAAGGCCAAACAGACUUCAUAUAAAUCCAUAAUGAACUUUUUCACCAAAGUGAGCAGUGAGGAACACGGAGGGAGGAUACAUCUUCUGAUCCGCCAUUUGCUGCCGACGAGCUGUACUACAGCACCGUGGAGAGUGACUACGAGGAUGACGUCCACAUGCCUGACCAGCAUGAGGAGGAGCAAAAUGGUGGUGAUGAGCAUGAGGUGCCUUUUAGAAGUCCUUCGAGAAGCCCGUCCCCUUUACCAGGCCUAUCUGCUCUAAGAAUCACACCCUUUCCUGUAAUAAGCCCAUCCCCUUUGAGAAUCACACCCCCUUUUAGAAGCCCAUCCCCUUUUUGAGAUUCUCAUCCCUUUAAGAACAUCUCCUAUAAGAAGACCAACCCCCGUGAGGAGGCAAUCUCCUAUAAGACCAACCCCCGUGAGGAGGCUAUCUCCUAUAAGACCAACCCCCGUGAGGAGGCUAUCUCCUAUAAGAAGACCAACCCCUGUGAGGAGACUAUCUCCUAUAAGACCAACCCCCGUGAGGAGGCUAUCUCCUAUAAGAAGACCAACCCCCGUGAGGAGACUAUCUCCUAUAAGAAGACCAACCCCCGUGAGGAGGCUGUCUCCUAUAAGAAGACCAACCCCCGUGAGGAGGCUAUCUCCUAUAAGACCAACCCCCGUGAGGAGACUAUCUCCUAUAAGACCAACCCCCGUGAGGAGACUAUCUCCUAUAAGAAGACCAACCCCCGUGAGGAGGCUAUCUCCUAUAAGACCAACCCCCGUGAGGAGGCUAUCUCCUAUAAGACCAACCCCCGUGAGGAGGCUAUCUCCUAUAAGAAGACCAUGCACUGCGACAAGCCCACCCACUUCUGUUACUCCUGCAUCCGUUCCUCACGUCAGCAUCAACGUAACUUUGUGGUUAGAUGUAAGUGUUGAUUAGACUUAGAUCUGGGUUAUAAUCUGUAUUAAGACCUGUUAUGUCCCCUCCAUUUUCACUGAGUGGAGCUGAAACCUUUACAAUGCACAUCUGUUACAUUUGAUAUUUUUUUGUUGUUGAUAUAAUAACAAUUUACUUUUUUUUGAAGUACCAUUACUUUGUUCUUUUAUACUGCAUGAGCAAAAAUAAAAAUAACUUAAAUAAAAAUAAUU